GGGCUGCAGUGGGGAAUAUUGGACAAUGGGCGCAAGCCUGAUCCAGCCAUGCCGCGUGUGUGAAGAAGGCCUUCGGGUUGUAAAGCACUUUUGUACGGGAAGAAACCUUCCGGGCUAAUACCCCGGGAGAAUGACGGUACCGUAAGAAUAAGCACCGGCUAACUUCGUGCCAGCAGCCGCGGUAAUACGAAGGGUGCAAGCGUUACUCGGAAUUACUGGGCGUAAAGCGUGCGUAGGUGGUUCGUUAAGUCUGCCGUGAAAGCCCCGGGCUCAACCUGGGAAUUGCGGUGGAUACUGGCGGACUAGAGUGCGGUAGAGGGUGGUGGAAUUCCCGGUGUAGCAGUGAAAUGCGUAGAGAUCGGGAGGAACAUCUGUGGCGAAGGCGGCCACCUGGACCAGCACUGACACUGAGGCACGAAAGCGUGGGGAGCAAACAGGAUUAGAUACCCGUGUAGUC
rnacentral:rRNA from 1 species